CCGACUUCGUAACCUACCCGGUCCCCACCCAAAAUAAGAUCAAGUGUAGUAUCUGUUCUUAUCAGCUUAAUAUCUGAUAUGUCGGGCAAUGCCCGACUCUUAUUAAACUGAUUUUGGAUAUCGCCAUGGAUUGGAGCUUGCUCCCUGGCCACGGGUUGUCUCGGUAUUGCACUACCUCCGAGUUCGCCCAUUUCCU